GAAAAGGACCAGGUCAGCCCUAGGAGCACCAGUAAAGGCAAUUCAGCUGUGUGACCAGAAAGGGCGGAACCUGGCUGCACCUCUCAGACUCCACUCAAAGGCUGACUGCUACUAGGGGAGGCUCUCCGGUUAGAGAUCCCUCCCUUGUGGAGUUUUUUCCUGCAAGUCUAGAUGUAGGGAGACAGGGCGUAACGAUGGUAAGCACAAGACAGAAGAGCAGCAAGAUCCCAGGCUGCAGCAAGUGAGGAUCUGCUCAGAUAUGACAACAGUGGGCAAAUAAAUAAGAGAAGGAAACAGCUCACCUUCAGAAAGACUUCAAGGUCCUCAGGUGGAAGCAGAACAGAAGAAAAAGGCUCAGCUUGAAAUUACCUUUUGCAAGUUGGAGUACUGAAGGACAUUAUCAGGACAGAGAUUCCUCCAGAGGGACAAGAAAAAAUAUGGAAGACAUUAAAAGCAGAAAGAAAAGAUACGUGAGCAGCUCCUCUCCUCUCCUCUUAACAUCAUACAGACUUUUGUUUUCAAAUGAGAACUGACCCAAAGCAAAGCUGCUUACUUCUGGGGCUGGAAGCUUCAUGUGAACUCUCGUGUUUCUUAGAUUAGGUCAUGAAAAAGGGCACAACUUUGCAGCCUUGCAAGAGAAAGUCAAGACAACUGGAGAUGGAUACCAUAAUUCAGGAAAACAACAUGAUGGAAAACCUGGUGAUAGGAUUACUAUCAGCUUUCACUUCACAGCCUCAAAAGUAUCAUCAUGUUACAAAACACCCAGUCGUGCUAUAUUAUGCACUGAUUAUCUGGAUAUGGGAAGAAAAUAUAUAAGUACCAUCCCUCAAAAUUGAUUGUAACUACAGAAACAACUAUAGAACAAAAAAUGACAAAAAUACUCUCAGUAAUACAAGCAUUUGUGACUAAUAUUCACAGUGAAUAUUUAUUUUCACAUACGAAUCUUAUCACUGCUACAUUUGCUGUAUUUGUCAUUAUUGAUAGAGCUGUCUGCUAUUUAUUCUGGAGAUGUAGUUAACCAUUUUUCCUUCCACAUUUUUGGGGCGGUAUUGGAAGUAUUAGCUUUAUUUCUCCCCUUCCUCUCCAGUCCUUUUUAGGAAGUAGCACAUCCCAUCAGAUGUUUAGCAGUCAUCACCAAGAUGCAUUAGUUUUAUGAUAUCUUACAUACUUACUUAUAUUUGAGUUAUCAGGAGAAGGAAAAACAGAAGGGGAAAAAUAAACGAACAAGCAAACAAAACAAGAAAAGCCUUUCAUCUUGAAAGGAAAACAGCUUGGGAGUGGGCCAAGGUGCCUACCCACCCACUACUCUGUCCUGCUAGCAGACAAGCUAUAGAGUCCUGUAGUGAGAGCGCUACUUGAAGCUUUAUUGCCACAGAAGAAGUUCAAAUACUCUCCCAUUGCCAUCACUAUCACCAGAGUUUGCUGGUACGCAUUCAUGGCAAAUUAGCUAUUCCCAUCUUUGCUGAAGAUAUAGGAAUAGCGCUGUUUAAGUGAGCUUUCCAUUGUGCCAGG
ensembl:lncRNA